rnacentral:rRNA from 1 species
CCCUUAGAUGUUCUGGGCCGCACGCGUGCUACACUGAGUGGAUCAGCGGGUCAGGUUGCGCGAAAGUGUUUCCUAAUCUUGAAAUCCGCUCGUGAUGGGGAUUGACGGUUGCAAUUUUCCGUCAUGAACGAGGAAUACCUUGUAAGCGCGGGUCAUCAUCCCGCGCUGAAUACGUCCCUGCCCUUUGUACACACCGCCCGUCGCUCCUACCGAUUGAGUGGCCCGGUGAGGCUUUGGGAUCUGAGCAAAGAGAGCGUUUCGCUCGUUUUGCCCGGAAAACUCAGUCGAACCUUAUCAUUUAGAGGAAGGAGAAGUCGUAACA